UGAAUUAUAUAAUGAUGGUCAUUAUUAUUGGACAAAGCUAAUAAUGGGCUAAGCCCAUAAGCAAACCUAAUUGCAUUAGGUUACGUGCUUCACAUAUGUAUAUAUACGAAAGUAUGUUAUGAUAUGUGGCGGGGUUUUUACUUCUGGCCGAAACCUAAUCAUAAAGGCGAAAUGUUCGACAAGUUUUGAGAUUCGAUCUCAACGAUACUAGCAUCCCGUCUUGAUCCAGUUUGUGUGCGUGUGGAUACCGGUACAGGCACAAUAUUUGGAGUGCUAAAUAACUUCGGUUUGUUUCACUCAUCUUUCCACUGCGAAUAACCAGGAAUUACUGUUUGUGGAUGCUGGUUAAGAAAACGUUAGCAAAGUCAUGGCAACUCUUGAUGGAGUUCACCGGGUUUUGAAUCCAGAUGGGGUUUUCAUUUCCAUUGCAUUUGGCCAGGCGUCCUUUGUUUAUGGAUCCCAAGUUAACUUGCUCCUUGGAGAUAACACUUUUGGCGAUGGAUUCCAUUAAUUUUUCCAUACAAAGGAGAAGAGACUUAAUGAUGACAAAGUAGAAAAUAAGAUAUAUAAUGAUCAUCAAUAAACAUGUAUCAAGAUGAACUUGAAGGUGAAGAAUUAAUACAUCUUUCAAACAAAC